AGGUGGCUUCCUGUUUGAAGGGCUCUCCGAUGAGGAGGAUGACUUUCACCCAAGUGCCAGGUCCACGCCCUCGAGCAGCACGUCCAGCUCCCGCCCAGCUUCCCUGGGGUACAGUGGAGCCGCCGGACCCCGGCCCAUCACUCAGAGCGAGCUGGCCACGGCCCUGGCCCUGGCCAGCACUCCGGAGAGCAGCUCUCACACGCCAACUCCUGGCACCCAGGGCCAUUCCUCUGGGACCUCCCCAAUGUCCUCAGGCGUCCAGUCAGGGACGCCCAUCACCAACGAUCUGUUCAGCCAAGCCCUACAGCAUGCGCUGCAGGCCUCCGGGCAGCCCAGCCUUCAGAAUCAGAUGGAACUUGAAUCUUUGGAAAAGAACAGAGAGCAUUGGAAAUGGUAAAUAUGGGAAUAAAUUGCAUGUGGCUAUUUAAAAAUAAUGUGGGGGUUUCCUUUUUCAUGCUCUGGAACCUUUUAAGUAGCUUUAAAAUUUUGGUAGAUUCUCCUAGGAAUUCUUCUGGGCCUUGUUAAUUUUUGAGUGAUCAUUUAAUUUCUUUAAAUUUUUUGUUUAAUAAGGUCAAUUUUGGCAAGUAAUACUUUCCUAAGAAAUUAUCUUUAAUUUAGGUUUUCAAAUGUGUUUGUCUAGACUAAUGAAAAGUAGUAUUUUUUUUUUUUUUUUUUUUUUUUUUUGCUUUUUAGGGCCACAUCCACAGCAUAUGGAGGCUCCCAGGCUAGGGGUCUAAUUGGAGCUGUAGCCCCCAGCCUACACCACAGCCACAGCAACGCCAGAUCUGAGCUGCGCCUGCAACCUACACCACAGCUCAUCGCAACACCAGGUUCUUAACCCACUGAGUGAGGCCAGGGAUCAAACCCACAACCUCAUGAUUCCUAGUCGGAUUCAUUUCUGCUGUGCCACAACGGGAACUCCAAAAGUAGUAUCUUAAGACUUUUAAUGUUUCUUCUGUUUCAGUGCUUAUUUCCUCCUUAUCAUUUCUUAUUUUCCAUACUUAAGCCUUUUCCUUUUUUUCCCUGAUCAGGUUAGCUAAUAGUUUGUCUCUUUGAAUGAUUUUUUUUUUUUCGUGAGAACCAUUUGGACUUCUUAAUUCAUUUUAGAUUUUCUUUUUCUGUUUUCUAACCCAUUAAUUUCUGCUUAUAUCUUUAAUAGUUCCUUCAUUUUGCUUUCUCUUGGUUUACUUUGCUUUUAUUUUUGUAGCUUUUAAAUUGAUGCUUAAUUUAAUUAGAUAUUUAGUUUAAUACAUUUUCCUCUAACAGCUAUUUUAUGAGCAGUACCUCAUAGAUUCAAAUAAGCCAGGUUUCCAUUAUCACUGUUUCAUAAAAUUCUGCAGUUUUUGUUUGUAUUAUCUAUUAACCUAGAUAAUACAAACAAUUUUUAAAUUUUUAAAUUUUCUAGGGGAAAGAUUCUUUGCUUUUAAUUUUGUUAUUUAUACUUUUAUUGCAUUGUGAUCAGAGAAUAUUUAUAUUAUUGCUAUUUUUAUAGGUAUUGAUAUUUUCUUUUCUUCUUUUUUGGCCACCCCAGGGCACAUAGAGUUCCUGGCCAUGCAACCUAAGCUGCAGCUGCAGCAAUGCCAUAUCUUUAACCCACUGUGCCAGGCUGGGGAUAGAACCUGCAUCCCAGUGCUCAAGAUGCCACUGAUCCAUUGCACCACAGUGGGAAACCCUUGAGAUUUUUUUUUUGCAACCUAAUAGAUCAUCAGCUUUCAUGAAUGUUUUUUCAAUUAUCUGAUAGCCAGUGCUCUGAUCCACCAGGUUCAGACCUAGCAUAAAAGAAUCCUCUCUUCUUGGGAAAAUUCUAGCUGAUAUUGUUGGUAUUUGGCCUCCUCUAGGACCAGGCUGCACUAUUCUCUCUUCCACACCAAAUCCCCACCCCCCACCCCUCAGUUCAGAGGCGAGCUCUGGAGCUGGCUCUACGGGUUUCAGAUAUUUAUCUCUCCAUUUACAUGUACAUUGAAGUUUAAGGUACUCUCUCUCCUGCUCCUAGGAUGCUGUAGGUAAGGGCCAGGGGAUUUAAUUUGAUUGGUGUGGGUUUUAGAGGAUUUGGGAAGGGAUUUAGACAUCUUCCAUUAUUCUAUAGGAAUCAGGGAGCUCUUUGCUUUCUUUGUAUCAUAUCUCUGCUGCUUUCUCUUCUUUCCUUACUUCUAUUGGCUUAAAUUUUCUUUUGCCCUUACCUUCUCAUUGAUGUUGAAGUUAUAGUUCUUUUUCUGUUCUCUUAGUGGUAACCCUGAAAAAUGGAGCCUGCACAUUUAGCUUAGUGCAGUCUAAAGUUAGUAAAUAUUGCUAUCUUUUUUCUAAACAAUGUAAGGACCUAAGAAUGUCUUAACUCCCAUCAUUGCUCUCUCAUGUUAUUAUUCAUUUACCAAACAAUUUUGAGUGCUUACCAUGUGCCAGGUUGAUAUAAUAAUGAACAAAAAGUGUGUGUGUGUGAGGCAGGCGAGGUGGGGGGUGAGGGGGGUUCCUGUUCUAGUGGAUUUAUGUUUUAGUGGAGGCAAACAAGAUAUAAAUUUAAAAUAUACUAUGAUGUAUAAUGAAGAGUGCUACAAAGCAAAAAAUAAAGCAAGGUAGGGGAAUAUGAAGUCUCCCGUG
ensembl:lncRNA